rnacentral:rRNA from 1 species
UCGGGAAUUUUGGGCAAUGGGCGAAAGCCUGAUCCAGCCAUGCCGCGUGAGUGACGAAGGCCUUAGGGUUGUAAAACUCUUUCGUCGGGGACGAUAAUGACGGUACCCGAAGAAGAAGCUCCGGCUAACUUCGUGCCAGCAGCCGCGGUAAUACGAAGGGAGCUAGCGUUGUUCGGAAUCACUGGGCGUAAAGCGCACGUAGGCGGAUAGUUAAGUCAGGGGUGAAAUCCUGGGGCUCAACCCCAGAACUGCCUUUGAUACUGGCUGUCUCGAGGUCGAGAGAGGUUGGUGGAAUUCCUAGUGUAGAGGUGAAAUUCGUAGAUAUUAGGAAGAACACCAGUGGCGAAGGCGGCCAACUGGCUCGAUACUGACGCUGAGGUGCGAAAGCGUGGGGAGCAAACAGGAUUAGAUACCCUAGUAGUCCCUGAGCGGGCUGGCAAGGCGCAU